rnacentral:rRNA from 1 species
UACAGAGGGGGGCAAGCGUUUGUUUCGGAAUUACUGGGCGUAAAGGGCGCGUAGGCGGCCUGUUAAGUCGAACGUGAAAUCCCCGGGCUCAACCCGGGAACUGCGUCCGAUACUGGCAGGCUUGAAUCCGGGAGAGGGAUGCGGAAUUCCAGGUGUAGCGGUGAAAUGCGUAGAUAUCUGGAGGAACACCGGUGGCGAAGGCGGCAUCCUGGACCGAUACUGACGCUGAGGAGCGAAAGCCAGGGGAGCAAAGCGGG